AUUGAACGCUGGCGGCAUGCCUUACACAUGCAAGUCGAACGGUAACGGGCCUUCGGGUGCCGACGAGUGGCGAACGGGUGAGUAAUACAUCGGAACGUGCCCGAUCGUGGGGGAUAACGAGGCGAAAGCUUUGCUAAUACCGCAUACGAUCUACGGAUGAAAGCAGGGGACCGCAAGGCCUUGCGCGGACGGAGCGGCCGAUGGCAGAUUAGGUAGUUGGUGGGAUAAAAGCUUACCAAGCCGACGAUCUGUAGCUGGUCUGAGAGGAUGAUCAGCCACACUGGGACUGAGACACGGCCCAGACUCCUACGGGAGGCAGCAGUGGGGAAUUUUGGACAAUGGGCGCAAGCCUGAUCCAGCCAUGCCGCGUGCAGGAUGAAGGCCUUCGGGUUGUAAACUGCUUUUGUACGGAACGAAAAUCCUUCUUUUAAUACAGGAGGGUCAUGACGGUACCGUAAGAAUAAGCACCGGCUAACUACGU
rnacentral:rRNA from 1 species